rnacentral:rRNA from 1 species
CCUACGGGGUGCAGCAGUGAGGAAUAUUGGUCAAUGGACGAGAGUCUGAACCAGCCAAGUAGCGUGAAGGAUGACUGCCCUAUGGGUUGUAAACUUCUUUUAUAAAGGAAUAAAACGAGGCACGUGUGCCUUUUUGCAUGUACUUUAUGAAUAAGGAUCGGCUAACUCCGUGCCAGCAGCCGCGGUAAUACGGAGGAUCCGAGCGUUAUCCGGAUUUAUUGGGUUUAAAGGGAGCGUAGAUGGGUUGUUAAGUCAGUUGUGAAAGUUUGCGGCUCAACCGUAAAAUUGCAAUUGAUACUGGCAGUCGUGAGUACAGUUGAGGUAGGCGGAAUUCGUGGUGUAGCGGUGAAAUGCUGAGAUAUCACGAAGAACCCCGAUUGCGAAGGCAGCUUACUAAACUGUGACUGACAUUGAUGCUCGAAAGUGUGGGUAUCAAACAGGAUUAGAUACCCUAGUAGUC